rnacentral:rRNA from 1 species
UAGAAAUCUAAGGCGCUCGAGAGAACUCGCGUUAAGGAACUCGGCAAAAUGCACACGUAACUUCGGAAGAAGUGUGGCCCCUGUUUGGUUAAAGAGUGGGGGUGGCACAGAGCAGGCCCAGGCGACUGUUUAUCAAAAGCACAGCCAUCUGCGAAUCAGCAAUGAGACGUAUAGGUGGUGACACCUGCCCGGUGCUGGAAGGUUAAGAGGAGCGGUUCGAGGUGACUCAAAGCUGUGAAUCGAAGCCCCAGUAAACGGCGGCCGUAACUAUAACGGUCCUAAGGUAGCGAAAUUCCUUGUCGGGUAAGUUCCGACCCGCACGAAUGGUGUAACGAUUCUGGGCACUGUCUCAACGCGAGACUCGGUGAAAUUUAUAUACCGGUAAAGAAGCCGGUUACCCACAGUUAGACGGAAAGACCCCGUGAACCUUCACCGUAACUUAUUAUUGGAUCUUGGUGUAGCAUGUGUAGCAUAGGUGGGAGACUACGAGACGUGGCCGUUAGGUUGCGUGGAGUCGACCAGUGAAAUACCACCCUUGCUACAUCAGGUUUCUAACCUAAUCCGUGAAUCCGGGUUGGGGACAAUGAUAGGUGGGCGGUUUGACUGGGGCGGUCGCCUCCUAAAGAGUAACGGAGGUGCGCGAAGGUCUCCUCGCGCUGGUUGGAAAUCAGCGUACGAGUGUAAAGGCACAAGGAGGCUUGACUGCGAGACUGACAGGUCGAGCAGGUACGAAAGUAGGUCUUAGUGAUCUGGCGGUAGCGAGUGGAAGCGCCGUCACUUAACGGACAAAAGGUACUCCGGGGAUAACAGGCUGAUUUUCCCCAAGAGUUCACAUCGACGGGAAAGUUUGGCACCUCGAUGUCGGCUCAUCGCAUCCUGGGGCUGAAGCAGGUCCCAAGGGUUUGGCUGUUCGCCAAUUAAAGCGGUACGUGAGCUGGGUUCAGAACGUCGCGAGACAGUUCGGUCCCUAUCUGCUGUGGGCGUUGGAUGAUUGAGAGGAGCUGCAUUUAGUACGAGAGGACCGAUGUGGACAAACCUCUGGUGUACCUGUUGUUCUGCCAAGAGCAAGUGCAGGGUAGCUAAGUUCGGAAGGGAUAACCGCUGAAGGCAUCUAAGUGGGAAGCCCACCUCAAGAUAAAUCAUCCCUGGGGGUUCGACCCCCCUAAAGACUCCAGAGAGACUAUCUGGUUGAUAGGCUGCAGGUCUACGCACGGUAACGUGUUCAGCCGAGCAGUACUAAUAGGUCGUGAGGCUUGACCU